rnacentral:rRNA from 1 species
AUUGAACGCUGGCGGCAUGCCUUACACAUGCAAGUCGAACGGCAGCGGACCUUCGGGUGCCGGCGAGUGGCGAACGGGUGAGUAAUGCAUCGGAACGUACCUUUCAGUGGGGGAUAACGUAGCGAAAGUUACGCUAAUACCGCAUAUUCUGUGAGCAGGAAAGCAGGGGAUCGCAAGACCUUGCGCUGAUUGAGCGGCCGAUGUCAGAUUAGCUAGUUGGUGAGGUAAAGGCUCACCAAGGCGACGAUCUGUAGCGGGUCUGAGAGGAUGAUCCGCCACACUGGAACUGAGACACGGUCCAGACUCCUACGGGAGGCAGCAGUGGGGAAUUUCGGACAAUGGGGGCAACCCUGAUCCAGCCAUGCCGCGUGAGUGAAGAAGGCCUUCGGGUUGUAAAGCUCUUUCGGCCGGGAAGAAAUCGUAUGGGCUAAUACCCUGUGCGGAUGACGGUACCGGCAUAAGAAGCACCGGCUAACUACGUGCCAGCCGCCGCCGUAA